CCAUGCAACAACUCACAGCAAUUCAGCAAGGAUUCAUAGGGAUUCAGCGAAGAUGCACAGGUAACAGAGUAAGGGCCUCUUUGAUUCAUAGGAUUGCAAAAACACUGGAAUAGGAAAAACGUAGGAUUGAAAUGGCAUGUCCAUUGGAUCCCUAUAGGAUUUGAGUUUGUUUGAUUGUGUCAUGGGAAAAGCAUAGGAUUUCUUCCAAGAGGUUGGAGUGGAUGUUAGAAUUCCUGUGAAAUGUAGUACAAAUAAAUCCGUAGGAAAAUAUCCUACAAGAUUCAAUCCUACGAAUCAAACGACAAAGGUAGGAAAAAUUUCUAAGGAUUCUAAUCCUUCAAAAAUCCUAUGAAGAUCCUUUGAAUCAAAGAGACCCUAAGUUUUAGACCCAGCAGUACAUAUAUUCAGUUAACAGAAACAAGAGAAGAGGGAGAUUCAGAGCCUAUGGGACUUGAUGAUCUUCAAUUCGAAGUUGUAGAUGCUGCAGGCGAAGACGAGUAACAGAGGAGAUCCCUUGGGCAGAAACUGUAGCAUGAUGAAGAGCUCAGUGCAGAUCAGCCGCCCUUGUCCCUGGUCCGGAGCAGAGCACCACCGGGAGCCCGACGCCCCGUCCAGUGAGUCGAGGAGAUGUCGCAGCGGCGGUCGUCGGUGUUGGAGAGGAGCAGCAGCGAGCAUUGGGGUUGGAGAGGAAUAUCAGUGGUCGUCGGAGUUGGAGAAGAGCAGCAACACGCGUCAAGGUUGGAGAAGAGAAGUGGAUCGCCAGUCAAGGGCGGCAGGGAGGUGGAGCGCGCCAUCAGGAAGGGGCAGCCUCGUGGUGGAUCGGGCGCCACCGCCAGCCACCUGACACCCUCUUCUCACCUGUCUUUCCUUCGAUCUGGUCCCUCCCCUCGAUCUGGUUCUUCCCCUCGAUCCCCUUUCUUCCCUCCUUCGGUCUGGUGGGUGAGCAGCGAGGAGAGCGAGAGAAAGGAGUCGGCCCCCUGGUUCUUUUUUCCUUCGACCCCCUUCUCCAAUCU
rnacentral:rRNA from 1 species